UGGGGAAUUUUGGACAAUGGGGGCAACCCUGAUCCAGCAAUGCCGCGUGUGUGAAGAAGGCCUUCGGGUUGUAAAGCACUUUUGUCCGGAAAGAAAUCGCCCUGGCUAAUAUCCGGGGUGGAUGACGGUACUGGAAGAAUAAGCACCGGCUAACUACGUGCCAGCAGCCGCGGUAAUACGUAGGGUGCGAGCGUUAAUCGGAAUUACUGGGCGUAAAGCGUGCGCAGGCGGUUGUGCAAGACAGAUGUGAAAUCCCCCGGGGNUUAAACCCUGGGGAAUGGCAUUUUGUGAACCUGCACGGCUAGAGUGUGUCAGAGGGGGGUUAGAAUUCCACGUGUAGCAGUGAAAUGCGUAGAUAUGUGGAGGAACACCGAUGGCGAAGGCAGCCCCCGUGGGAUAACACUGACGCUCAUGCACGAAAGCGUGGGGAGCAAACNGGAUUAAUNCCCUGGUAGUCCACGCCCUAAANGAUGUCAACUGGUUGUUGGGAAAGGUUCCUUCUCAGUAACGUAGCUAACGCGUGAAGUUGACCGCCUGGGGAGUACGGCCGCAA
rnacentral:rRNA from 1 species